UAGAGUGGGAGCAGCAGGUGCCCAGGAAGAGGGCAAGAACAAAGCUCUAGUUUCUGUGCCAUCAGCCCUGCAUAAGGGAAGAGGUUCAUGGAGAGAGACGAGGGGCGGAUGGAAGGCUGCAGCCAUUCCAAACCCAGCCUGUUUUAACAUCUCUGGAGCUCAGCUAGAGAAAGACCAGGCACCAAGAAGAACAUGCAGCCUCCAUUUGGAAACAAAGAGUCCAUCUCACAAGCUUUCCCGGAGCCAGGUCCAAAAAGCCCACGUUCACCUGAGUUUCAGCAGGAUGGAGCAGCAGAGAGCGACCGUCACGUGACCGCAGAGUGGGCCACAGAGGAGCCCCGACUCAUCCGGAUGCUGGGCCUUGCCUUCGUUUCCCUUUGAGGAUCUGCCAAAAACCAAAAGUCACCAUCUAAAAAAAAAAAAAAAAGAACUCCAAAGAAAGGGGGAGGAGCAGGAGAAAGUAAUGAACAUUUCUUGAAGGUCUGUGGUGUGGCGGGAACCGACCUUGAAAGACGACACCGAUAUUUCAUUUUUUCUCUCCCACCGUGUGCCAGAUGGGCAUCAUCUCCAUUGUACAGAUGAAGAAACUGAGGCCCAAGAUUACACCGCUGUUGUGUGUCGGGAGAUGAUUUUCCACGGGUCUCUCACAUUUCCAUACAUCCUGUAAGCAAGGAUGCUGACCGCCUUUGCUCCGAUCUUUAUAAAGAUGUUCGCACGGUGAACGGCUUUGGAAGAUGUGAUGUCCUCCUCGGGAGCGAAGGCUUUAUAGAGAUAAUAAUUCACACAGCAUGCAAUUCAUCCAUGUACAGUUACCAUCCACUGGUUUCAGUAUAUUCUCAG